rnacentral:misc_RNA from 1 species
AUGAAGAACGUAGCGAAAUGCGAUAAGUAAUGUGAAUUGCAGAAUUCAGUGAAUCAUCGAGUCUUUGAACGCACAUUGCGCCCCCUGGUAUUCCGGGGGGCAUGCCUGUCCGAGCGUCAUUGCUGCCCUCAAGCACGGCUUGUGUGUUGGGCCCCCGUCCCCGGUUUCCCCCGGGGACGGGCCCGAAAGGCAGCGGCGGCACCGCGUCCGGUCCUCGAGCGUAUGGGGCUUUGUCACCCGCUCUGUAGGCCCGGCCGGCGCCAGCCGACACCCAACUUUAUUUCUAAGGUUGACCUCGGAUCAGGUAGGGAUACCCGCUGAACUUAAGCAUAUCAAUAAGCGGAGGA